AUGGUGAUACAGCAAUCUGGAAAUGCCUACAAUUUUUCCUUUCCGCUUGUCCUUGGGUCAGCCAUGUGUGAGCUUGGCAAUGGCACCCACAUUUCCUUGUGGUUUGACAAAUGGGUUGGGAGCAAAAGGCUCAUGAUCUCCUUCCCAACACUAUUCUCUUUCGCUAAAGCUAAAUUUUGCACGAUGGCAUCUCAGUUCCAAGGAGGGCACUGGGAAAUCCAACCACAUCCAAACCUUUCUGCUUCGGCCUCAAGGGAGCUUGAGGCACUGAUGGAGUUGCUCAACGGCAUUGAGCCACAUGACACUGAAGUUGGCCUUUGGGCAUUGGCCAAAUCUUCCCAGGGACUCCAUGAUCUCUUCCUCUCUGCCGCGGCUUGCAACUUGUUUGGUCAGCUACGACACAUCUUUGCGGCGCCAUGCUCGCGUGGUUUCUUUAUGGACGGCCCGGAACGCGCUAGGGUGUUUGAGACCGCGGCUCGAAUGCUAUCUGAAUUGGCUGAUCUUGUCAAGCUUUGGAGCUCGCGAGAGGAAGACAGGCAUGCCAUGAUGUCUUGGGUUGAUUCUCUGAGAUAG
rnacentral:rRNA from 1 species